rnacentral:rRNA from 1 species
UACGUAGGGUGCGAGCGUUGUCCGGAAUUACUGGGCGUAAAGAGCUCGUAGGUGGUUUGUCGCGUUGUUCGUGAAAACUCACAACUCAAUUGUGGGCGUGCGGGCGAUACGGGCAGACUGGAGUACUGCAGGGGAGACUGGAAUUCCUGGUGUAGCGGUGGAAUGCGCAGAUAUCAGGAGGAACACCUGCGGCGAAGGCGGGUUGCUGGGCCGACACUGACGCUGAGGCGCGAAAGCUAGGGGAGCGAACGGG